ACUGAGCGGCGGACGGGUAAGUAACGCGUGGGUAACCGUGCCUCAUACAGGGGAGUAACAGUUGGAAACGGACUGCUAAUACCGCAUAAGCGCACAGUACCGCAUGGUACGGUGUGAAAAACUCCGGUGGUAUGAGAUGGACCCGCGUCUGAUUAGGUAGUUGGUGGGGUAACGGCCUACCAAGCCGACGAUCAGUAGCCGACCUGAGAGGGUGACCGGCCACAUUGGGACUGAGACACGGCCCAA
rnacentral:rRNA from 1 species